GAAAGAAAGAAAGAAAGAAAGAAAGAAAGAAAAAAGGAAAAUGAUAACCAUGUGAGGUCUUCACCCCCAGUUCUCACCAUCGGGAGUCAUGGCAAAUUCACCACGUGCAGACCGCCCUCUUGGAAAGCAUAUUUUGUGCCUGAAUCUGUCUGUGAAGUGUUCUGGAUUACAACGCCUUCUUAUCAGUUUUAUCAAUUAGAAAAGCAUGCCUCACCUUUAAUUGUUUUGGAUCAUAUUCAAUUUUUCUUUUUAAAUAAGGAGGAGAGCAUUUCAUUAACCGGCCCAAAGCCAUAGCAAAUGGCUUUCCUGGGAUUUGAAACCACAUAUUUGGAAUCUAGAGUCCAAGCUCUUCUCAUUGCCUUAUAAAGCUUCUCUCUGUUCGGGGCCGUUAGAACAUUGCACACAUGCAGCCUGGAUCUGAAAACUGAAGUGUGGCUGGAGGUGGAGAAAAGCAAACUCAGAGGUGGCAGAGAGAGAAGACUAUUGGUGAUUUACCCCCUUUCCAUACAACCCCCUGGGAUUUUAUUUGAGUGCUCUGCCUGACCUAAAGUAAGACACUGCACUGCCAGUGAAGGAGUGGUUACAGGUUGUUUCUUCAAAGGAUGAGUUUUCUCUGCUUGCUGCUCAUGAGGGCAUUAUCUCUAUGGAGACCCACACUUGGAACCUGGAGGUUAUGAAGAUAAGUUCUAGAGACUGGGACGUUUAAGAUCAAGGUGCUGGCAGAUUGGGUGUCUGGAUGUCUAGUAACAAUCUGCUUCCUGCUUCAUAGACAGCUAUCUUCUCGGGAGAGAUUAGGGCACAGACAGACACAUAAGAAUGACCAGGUGAAGACAGGGAGAAGACACAUGUCUACAAGCCAUGGAGAGAAGUUUCAAAAGAAACCAGCCCUGCUAACACCCUGAUCUUGGAUGUUUAGUCUCCAAAAUGGUGAGCAAAGUGACUAAAGUCAUGAAGUGUUUGGAUCCAGUGAAGCAGAGGAAUGAAGAUGAAAACACCAUGAAAAAUGAAGUUACACGCAAUGCUACCCAGAGACAAGACAAUUGCAGACAAUUCUCAAGAAAUUGAAACUCUGAGAAAUAAUUAACUUGGCCAAAGUUUCACACCAUGUGGCAGAUCUGGAAUCGAAACCCAGCUGUUUGACCAUAAACCAAGCUCUGCUUCGUAACAUGUGAGCUCUUUGAAAAGAAAAAAAGUGAUAGAUCAGUGCCGUAAAGAACAUUUUCUUCUCCUUAGUAAAUCCUUCAAUCUUCCAGUGAUAA